rnacentral:rRNA from 1 species
GUAGGUGGCAAGCGUUGUCCGGGAAUUAUUGGGCGUAAAGCGCGCGCAGGCGGUUCGUUUAAGUCUGAUGUGAAAGCCCACGGGCUCAACCGUGGAGGGUCAUUGGAAACUGGAGAACUUGAGUACAGAAGAGGAAGGCGGAAUUCCACGUGUAGCGGUGAAAUGCGUAGAGAUGUGGAGGAACACCAGUGGCGAAGGCGGCUUUCUGGUCUGUAACUGACGCUGAGGCGCGAAAGCGUGGGGAGCAAACAGGAUUAGAUACCCUGGUAGUCCACGCCGUAAACGAUGAGUGCUAAGUGUUAGGGGGUUUCCGCCCCUUAGUGCUGCAGCUAACGCAUUAAGCACUCCGCCUGGGGAGUACGGCCGCAAAGGCUG